GAGUUUGAUCGUGGCUUCAGAUUGAACGCUGGCGGUAGGCCUAACACAUGCAAGUCGAGCGGAUGACGGGAGCUUGCUCCUUGAUUCAGCGGCGGACGGGUGAGUAAUGCCUAGGAAUCUGCCUGGUAGUGGGGGGACAACGUUUCGAAAGGAACGCUAAUACCGCAUACGUCCUACGGGAGAAAGCAGGGGACCUUCGGGCCUUGCGCUAUCAGAUGAGCCUAGGUCGGAUUAGCUAGUUGGUGGGGUAAUGGCUCACCAAGGCGACGAUCCGUAACUGGUCUGAGAGGAUGAUCAGUCACACUGGAACUGAGACACGGUCCAGACUCCUACGGGAGGCAGCAGUGGGAAUAUUGGACAAUGGGCGAAAGCCUGGAUCCAGCCAUGCCGCGUGUGUGAAG
rnacentral:rRNA from 1 species